GAUGAAGAACGCAGCGAAAUGCGAUACGUAAUGUGAAUUGCAGAAUUCAGUGAAUCAUCGAAUCUUUGAACGCAUAUUGCGCUCUCUGGUAUUCCGGAGAGCAUGCUUGUUUGAGUAUCAGUAAACACCUCAACUUCCAUAUCUUUUUUGAAAUGGGAGUUGGACUUGAGUGAUCCCAACGCUUUUCCUCACCGAAAAGUGGCGGGUUACUUGAAAUGCAGGUGCAGCUGGGCUUUUCUCUGAGCUAUAAGCAUAUCUAUUUAGUCUGCCUAAAAAACAGAUUAUUACCUUUGCUGCAGCUAACAUAAAGGAGAUUAGUUCUUGUGCUGACUGAUGCAGGAUUCACAAAGACAGGCUUCGGCCGACUUUGUAAACUCGAUCUCAAAUCAAGUAAGACUACCCGCUGAACUUAAGCAUAUCAAUAAGCGGAGGA
rnacentral:misc_RNA from 1 species